GGGGCCUUAGCUCUGCUGGGAGAGCGCCUGCUUUGCACGCUGGAGGUCAGCGGUUCGAUCCCGCUUGGCUCCUCCU
rnacentral:tRNA from 1 species